rnacentral:rRNA from 1 species
CCUACGGGUGGCAGCAGUAGGGAAUCUUCCACAAUGGGCGCAAGCCUGAGGGAGCAACACCGCGUGAGUGAAGAAGGGUUUCGGCUCGUAAAGCUCUGUUGUUGGAGAAGAACGUGCGUGAGAGUAACUGUUCACGCAGUGACGGUAUCCAACAAGAAAGUCACGGCUAACUACGUGCCAGCAGCCGCGGUAAUACGUAGGUGGCAAGCGUUAUCCGGAUUUAUUGGGAGUAAAGCGAGCGCAGGCGGUUGCUUAGGUCUGAUGUGAAAGCCUUCGGCUUAACCGAAGAAGUGCAUCGGAAACCGGGCAACUUGAGUGCAGAAGAGGCCAGUGGAACUCCAUGUGUAGCGGUGGAAUGCGUAGAUAUAUGGAAGAACACCAGUGGCGAAGGCGGCUGUCUGGUCUGCAACUGACGCUGAGGCUCGAAAGCAUGGGUAGCGAACAGGAUUAGAUACCCCUGUAGUC